CAAUAUUAAUUUUAUAAACAUAAAUAGUACUAUAGUUUUUUAUAACAUGAAAAUAAAAUCCCUUAGCGCAUUUGGAAUGUCGUCGAAAGUUUGUUGUUUUGGAAUUAAUGUAGGCUAUAAACUGUCUGUCCUAGAACCUAGCAAAUGUCAUAUUUUUUCAUACCUUUGUAAGUGUGCUCCUGUUGCUACUUCAUUUUUGUUAGUGCAUCUUGAACCUUAUCUCGAAUCUCUCCAUCUUCCAGGGAUUCAGUUUGGAAAAUAGCAAAAUGUGGACCACAACAAGCAUACAGAAUAAGUUUCUAUCUGAAUACUUAGUGCUGCACAUGGGAUGUGAAUAGAUGUUGCUCAUUAAACAAAUUCCUUGCCUUGACAGUGUUAAGAGCACACAUAUAUGAAGAUGGGCAUCAAGAAUGGUCAUGGUAUGGUUUGAUUCGACAUUAGAAGCCUAAAAAUUCUUAACUGGGAGAUUCUCGAAGAAAAAUGGCUGUUAUCUUUGAACACCUGCUUACAAAUAUUUUCACCCCAUAUGCAUCUCUUUAAGGUACUACAGAUAUAAAAAUUGGGUUAAUAAGAACAUAUGUAAGCAACAAUUGUUUCUAAACUGCAGCUGUCUAUGGAGAAAGAACAAACUGUAAAAUAUACAUUCUUUAUUGA